rnacentral:rRNA from 1 species
GACGAACGCUGGCGGCGUGCUUAACACAUGCAAGUCGAACGGAAAGGCCCUGCUUUUGUGGGGUGCUCGAGUGGCGAACGGGUGAGUAACACGUGAGUAACCUGCCCUUGACUUUGGGAUAACUUCAGGAAACUGGGGCUAAUACCGGAUAGGAGCUCCUGCUGCAUGGUGGGGGUUGGAAAGUUUCGGCGGUUGGGGCUGGACUCGCGGCUUAUCAGCUUGUUGGUGGGGUAGUGGCUUACCAAGGCUUUGACGGGUAGCCGGCCUGAGAGGGUGACCGGCCACAUUGGGACUGGGAUACGGCCCAGACUCCUACGGGAGGCAGCAGUGGGGAAUAUUGCACAAUGGGCGGAAGCCUGAUGCAGCAACGCCGCGUGCCGGAUGACGGCCUUCGGGUUGUAAACCGCUUUCGCCUGUGACGAAGCGUGAGUGACGGUAAUGGGUAAAGAAGCACCGGCUAACUACGUG